rnacentral:piRNA from 1 species
AGUUGACGUCACGGGGAAGGCAGAG